UGGCUUGUGGCCGCCAAGCGUUCAUAGCGACGUGGCUUUUUGAUCCUUCGAUGUCGGCUCUUCCUAUCAUUGUGAAGCAAAAUUCACCAAGCGUAGGAUUGUUCACCCUUUCAAGGGACCGUGAACUGGGUUGAGAACGAGCGAGUC
rnacentral:ncRNA from 1 species